UACGUAGGGGGCUAGCGUUGUCCGGAUUUAUUGGGCGUAAAGAGCUCGUAGGUGGUUCGGUUAGUCGGAUGUGAAAUCUCCAGGCUCAACCUGGAGGGGUCAUUCGAUACUGCCGUGACUAGAGUUCGGUAGAGGAGUGUGGAAUUCCUGGUGGAGCGGUGAAAUGCGCAGAGAUCAGGAGGAACACCCGUAGCGAAGGCGGCACUCUGGGCCGAUACUGACGCUGAGGAGCGAAAAGCGUGGGGAGCGAACAGG
rnacentral:rRNA from 1 species